rnacentral:tRNA from 1 species
GGUGGCUCAGAGGUAGAGCACUUGCCUUGCAUGCAUGAGGUCCUGGGUUCGAUUCCUCAGCACCA